ACGAGAUUAGUACAGGUCGGUCACUGCACUGGUCACUGCUAUAUCUAUUGUAGAGCUGUGGUCGCUGACAAAUUAUAUAUAGCUGUCUGUGUGCAUAGUCCAAGUUGCAUAUUCAUACUACAUACGAGGCGUGCCCCGUUUCUUAUUCUAUAAUCUACGGAUCCAACAACUUUUGUAUUGAGAUGAAACCUCUCAAUAUUCCAUGGAUUCACCGUGCGGGUGCCUGUUCCAUGGCGUUGCAAGGACAGGAGCUUCAACAGUACCUGGGACUUGUGAUUCAGGUGUAGGUUUAAGGGGCCCCUACCUAACGCGCGUUAAACGCUCACCUCCAUUGUCCAAGCUCCUCUCGCUACCUAACAAUAAUAAUAAAAGAAAUCCUUUAAAAAAAAUAAAAUUAAAAAUGAAGUCGUAUAUCUUUAUAAAUAUUUUUGAUAGUGACUAUUAAACGCAGAUGUAUUUUAAUUUGGUAAUUGAACUCUAUUAAGCAUCAUACAUAGGAUGUGGCAAUUACAAGCUAUGAGAACAAUUAAAGCGGUUUAAACGGCAUUAACUGGUUAUAUCUUGAUAUAUUUAUGAUUUUUUGAAACAUUUGCAAGUUAUUUAAAUGAAUACAACGAAUAAGCGAAA